CCAGACUGUCUGUGGGCCUCUAUCCACUCACCAGCCUGCCACAGACUUAUUCGUUGAACAUGAUGAGUCUAUUUCAAGGCAGCUGGAAGAUGCAAUUCAGAAGAGAGCACUCAAGUGCACGUUCACACAAACAGGUCAACAGUACGAGGUGGACUUCUCCAACCUCAAUCAGAAGAACAUAGCAACAGGAUUCAUCUGUGAAAUUAGAUGAAGACCUGUCUUCCAGUCCCUGCUGGCACUUCAGCCUCAUCUAAAGACUUUAAACCCUUGUGUUUAUCCAGGACAUGAGGAACCACAGCCUCAGGUUUGUUUGGCUGACCCUCUAGAAGACUUCAUGUUGGUAUCCCCCUGUCUGGAGACCUGGGCCCACAGAGGAGUUCACGAAGAUUGAAGUCAACCUCUAUGAAAAGGCCCACCUGAAAGUCUGAGCUGUUCCACAAAACCUUGUCUGAGACAGAUGUAGAGAUUUGAACAUCUACCAAAUCCAGAACACUUUUCAAUGGGAUAAAUAUAGAAGGUAAGGUUUGGUAUAAAACUGAAUCAAUUACAACUCCCCUGCCCAACAGCACACACGUGUGUGGAUGUUGCUGCAAGGCUUUGCCUUCAGUUGCGCAGCUGGCUCCAUAACUAGAGCAGGGCUGUAGUUUUAAGCAACUUUUACCAACCCUGUUACUGAAUAGACUUAUCCCAGGCACAAUCAGGGUACAGAUGUGUGGGCAUGAGUGUUUGAAACUUGGAGGUACAACUGUAUGUGCAAUUAUGUGCAACUACUUUAAAAUGAUCACUGUACUUUUUAAAUGAAAUUCUAAAAUACUUUUAAGUUGUGUCAAAUUGAUGUGGAAUAUUUAGAUACUGCACUGUGCUAAAGGAAAUGAUCACAUAACACUAUGUAACACGAUUUUUGUUCCUGGG